GAACAGAACCACCUACUGUUUCUUGUCAUUCAGGAACUGACACACCCCUCGGGAGAAGGAGUCUAGUCAUAGUUAGGGAACGCCCACAAACCCUCACAUGCACAUACACACACAGGAGAACAUACACAGCAGUUCUCUGUACAGGAACUUUACAAGGGAGAGAACUCCUUUGUAUCAUUCAUCCAACCAGAAUAGCUGAUUAUCAAACAAAUCAGAAAGUGUUUACUAUUGGUGUUGCACAAUGGAAAGGAUGACAAUAAACUUGUAUUGGUCAUCUUCAAUGAUUUGAAAAAAAUCUUCUGCAAUCUUUCUUAGAUUAGAAAGAUUGAAUAAUUUACUAGGAACUAUCAUACGGAAUUAUUUUAAGUUUUACGAAUAAAGGCAUGCAAGUUG
rnacentral:misc_RNA from 1 species